CUGCAAUCAGCAGGAGAAAACCGAACUACAACCUGCGGUCUCACCUGUGGGUUGCUGGCUGAGAAUGGUCCAUUGGAAGAACAAGAAGUGUCCUCAGCUUCACGAUUACCAAGGCAGAAGAAGUUCAGUUAAUAAUGGAAUACUUUGCAAAAUUUACCUGAACAUCCCAUCUCUCUGGAUCAUUGUCAUUUGAAUAGACUUCAUCGUCAAUAGCUGCAAUAUCAGUUUUUCAGGACAUCAUAUGCUGCCGGACCAUCGAUCUUGGAAUGCAAGUCAUGCCAUGGCUCUCUUGGGCCACGGGCAUCUUCAACCUGCGAAGAAAUGGUUUAUGAGGACCUAACGAAUUGCAACAAGUCCCAGG